UCGCCCGCCGCGCGCGGCGGGCGGGGCGGGGGCACGGGGGGCCUACGGGAGGCAGCAGUGAGGAAUCUUCCACAAUGGGCGAAAGCCUGAUGGAGCAACGCCGCGUGCAGGAUGAAGGCCUUCGGGUCGUAAACUGCUUUUAUUUGUGAAGAAUAUGACGUAACAAAGAUAGUUGUUC
rnacentral:rRNA from 1 species